CAGCCAGCUGCGAUCCAUCUCCGCCGAUGCCGCUGCUCCGCUCGCGCCGGCUGACUGGCCGCAGCGCCGCGUCGUUGGUCUCGACGGCGCGGCAGGUGAGGAUGCUGCGGAGCGCGUGGGACGCCCGGCGCAGGCUCCGGCUCUGGCUCCGCCUUUCUGAUUCCCCCGCCAUCCUCUCUCCUCUCUCCUUCUCCUUCUCCUCCUCUAUCUGCUGCUGCUGCACCGCCUCUCGGGCGUCGAUCUUGAACACCGCGCUGCGUCGUUGAGCCGCAGACUCGUCCGACGAGUCCCGCGGUGGCGGCGGCGGCAGUGGCGGAGGAUUCAGUGACAACACCUCGUCAUCCUCCGCUGCCUCGAUCCAGACUGUCUCCGCCGGAUUCGGAUUCGGAUUCGGGUUCGGAUUCGGAUUCAGCUUUUCUGCUGCUGCUGCUGUUGUUGCUGGUGCUGCUUCUUCUUUAGUUUCUUCUUUCUCCUCCUCGUCUUCCUCCGCUGCAGCAGCCACCCUCGAACUUUUCUCACCUUUUUUUUUAAAAAAAAAAUAAAAACAAAAAAAUAACGCUCGACAUUUUUAAGCACCACCCAAUCAUACAUGCAUACAUAAACUAUUCUAAUGAAUUAAAGCUAAAUUAAGGGAAUAAUAAUAAUAGGAAUAGUAAUAAUAAUGCUUACUGAAAGAAGAAGAAGAAGAAGAAGAAGGAGGAAAGGGUUGGGCGUUAAUGGCGGCGGCGGUGGUGGUGGUGGUGGUGGGGUGGAGAGGGCGAUGGGGGAUGAGUUCGGAGCCUUUGAGGACGUAUUCGUUGUCGGAGAUCGGGGUGAUGAGAUCGUCGUCCGUCAGAUCCUGCCAUACGUAUCCGCUCCUAUACCUUCUGUAAAAUAAUUAAAUCAAUAAAUAAAUAAUUUACCCUUUUUUAAAAUUAAGAAAAAAAAAAUUAAAAAAAAAAAAGAAGAAGAAAAGGAGGAGGAAUUGAAUUGAUGGAACGAACCUCUUGUAAGACCAGGCAAAGGAGUCCGCCAUGUCCUUCCCCCUCAAUUCCGAUAGCCACCUCUUCACAUCUAUAUAUCCAAAAUAUAUAUAAUAUUAUAAUAUAAUAAUAUUAAAGUCUAAUUAAAACCGGUCUCGUAUGCGAAUACCGUAUUUGUUUCUGUACGUAAUAUUGCGUUCAGCAUAUUACUAUCAGUCGGUUAUAAUAUAUUUUCUGCAGUCCUACCGAAGAACGCAGAAACAUAUCUCUAUAUAUUUUUUUUCUCAACUCCAUUUUAUCUAAUAACAUUAGAUAGACUUCAAUACCAAACUAAACCUUAAUUAAUGACAAAGCGCAAAAUGAGUCGAAAUUGCGGGGAUGGUACCGCAUACCGCGGAGGCGGACGCCGGCGCGGUGGAGGUGGUGGACGCGGAUGAGGUGCGGGUGCUCGACCUUGCCGCCGCGGCUGAGAAAAUACACAACAUUCACCCUCCUAACCUCUCCUCCUCCUCCUCCUCCAUUUCCCAUCUCCAUAUAUCGCUCUUCAAACAAAAAUAAUACAAUACAACAAAUGUUACGAAAAAUAAAUAUGAAAUCUCCAUACGCAUAUAAAUUUUAAGACCGUCGCAAUCCGAGGCCCGACAUUCUAACUGAAUCGACAAUAAAAAAAUGCGUAUCCAAGGGUAAGAGAAACAAAUUUGCAGGCCGAGCAAUUGAGGAAAUAAAAUAAUGGGGGUUGCUGCAUGGAUUUAUCCGUUCUAUAAUAAUAAAAAAAUUUUAACGAAGAAUUUUAUUAGAGAACAAACCUCGUGGAAGUAGAAGGAAGGGAAUAUUCGGAGAUCGAGAUCUCUCUACUUGGGUUUUUUUUUUUUUUUUUUUUUUUUGAAUUUGUUGAAUAAUUUGGGGGUGUGGGGAGGGUGGAAGAGAGAAAGAAAUGAAUUGGGAUUGGGUUUGGGUUUUGUGACUUUUUUGUGGGGUUGUUAUUUAUAGGCGGGCUUGGAAACCGGGAAGGAGUUGCCGCGGAUUUUAGAAUAUUGAUUUUUGGGAGAAAAAAAAAAAAUGGUGUGUAUGGUGAUAAAUAUGGUAGAUCUUUUUUACUAUGGUUUUUUUUUUUUUUUUAAAGAGAAAUAUAGCUAGGUUGUCAAUCGGUAGGGAUAUUUGAAAUUUUAUUCGAAUCCAAAUUCGGAGCGAAUUUAUUCGAUACUGAAUGGAUAUGAUUUCGAAUAUUGAUAUCAAAAAUAAAAAUCCGACGGAUAUGGAUACGAAUAUGGAUUAAAACUGUAUCCGAGUCGAACCUGAACCCGAACCCGAAUUUAUUUUACAUUAUAUAUAAUAUGUAUACAAAAAUUUGAUAUUAUAUUUGAAUUUGUAGUUUAAAAUUUUUGAUUUAAUUUAAUAUAUUAUGAAAUAUUGAAAAGAGAAAUAAUUAUUCAGGGUUCGAUUUUCAGGUUCGGAUUCGGUUUCCGGCUUCGUAUUUUUUGUCGGGUUCGGGUUUGGAUAGGAAUUUUUAAAAUCCGUCGGAUUUGGGUUCGGAUUCGGGUUUCAGGUUUGGGGUCGGGUUCAGGUUCGAAUUUUAAAAAAUUCAUCCCAAAUCCGAUCCGCUGACAUUCCUAAAUAUAGCAAGCUAAUAAUUCUGUUUGUUUUUUAGAAAUAAAGUUUGUUUGGCCUCACAGUUGGGGAAGCGAUUUUGGCACAAUUAAUAUUGGUUUUCAGAACUCAUUUUGUCUAAAAUUGGUAAGUUUGGCAGAGUGUAAGUGGAAAGUGAUUUUGAAAAUAAUUUUGCGAAAGUAUUUGGCAAAAUAUUUUUACCGUUUGCAAAUUAUUUUUUUUUUUCUAAAUUUUAGUUUAAAAUUUAAUAUUUAAGAUUUUGAAUUUAAAAGCUGAAUUAGAAUUUAAAAUUUAAUAAUUAAAUUUAAAUUUAGAAUUAAAAUUUUGAAAUUUUAAAUUUAAAAUAAAAUUUAAAUUUAUCUGAAUCUUAAAAUUUAAAAUUUAAAUUUAAAACUUAAUAAAAAUUUUAAAUUUUAAAUAUUGACUUAAAUUUUAAGUUUUAAAUUUUAAAUUUUAAAUUUUAAAUUUGAAAAAUUAAGUUCAAUAUAUAAAUUUAAAAUUUGAAAUUUUAAAAUUUAAAAUUUAAAGCUUGAAAUUUAAAAUUUAAGAUUUAAAAUCUAUAUUUAAAUUUAAAAUUUGAAUUCAAAAUUAAAUUAAAAUUUGAAUU
rnacentral:lncRNA from 1 species